CCUGGGAACUUGUUAGAAAUGCAAAUUCUGUGUGCUAGAGUCCUCAAAGAAUAACGGAUGACCUUAUUCACUGGCUGUGGUCCUCAUGGCACAGUCAGUCACCAGGUUAGUGACAUCU
rnacentral:snoRNA from 1 species